rnacentral:rRNA from 1 species
UACGAAGGGUGCAAGCGUUACUCGGAAUUACUGGGCGUAAAGGGUGCGUAGGUGGUUUUUUAAGUCCGUUGUGAAAUCCCUGGGCUCAACCUGGGAAUGGCAGUGGAUACUGGAAAGCUAGAGUGCGGUAGAGGGUAGUGGAAUUCCCGGUGUAGCAGUGAAAUGCGUAGAGAUCGGGAGGAACACCGGUGGCGAAGGCGGGUCUCUGGGCCGAUACUGACGCUGAGGAGCGAAAGCGUGGGGAGCGAACAGG